GAUGAACGCUAGCUACAGGCUUAACACAUGCGAGUCGCGGGGCAGCAUGGGGGUUGCUUGCAAUCCCCGAUGGCGACCGGCGCACGGGUGAGUAACGCGUAUCCAACCUGCCCUUCACCACGGGAUAACCCGGCGAAAGUCGGACUAAUACCGUAUGUUGUCCAUUGACGGCAUCCGAUUUGGACGAAAGGCUUGGCGGUGAGGGAUGGGGAUGCGUCCGAUUAGCCAGACGGCGGGGUAACGGCCCACCGUGGCUACGAUCGGUAGGGGUUCUGAGAGGAAGGUCCCCCACACUGGAACUGAGACACGGUCCAGACUCCUACGGGAGGCAGCAGUGAGGAAUAUUGGUCAAUGGGCGUAAGCCUGAACCAGCCAAGUAGCGUGCAGGAUGGCGGCCCUAUGGGUUGUAAACUGCUUUUAUGCGGGGAUAAAGUGGCCCACGUGUGGGCUUUUGCAGGUACCGCAUGAAUAAGGACCGGCUAAUUCCGUG
rnacentral:rRNA from 1 species